UUUGUUUUUUUUUUUUUUUUCUUGUUCUUUUUCCUGCU
rnacentral:ribozyme from 19 species